CAAGAAUUUUAGCUGAGGAAGCUUCUGCGAUUUGAAGCGAAACGUCCUCGCAUCAAGCAACCCAGUCCAGUCGAAGAUUCAAGCUUCUCUACUAUGGAUACCACCUGGACAACUGAGAGCUUACACAGAAACACCGGAGGAAAGUUCACCCGAGACACCGGAAAGUCUGGAGAGCACGUCGGAGGAGAUUGAUGACAGCAGCUUAACACAACCUGAAGACCACACUGAGGAGGCUCCAGACAAAAAAAUCAAAAGCCAUCAUCUGUGGAUGCCAAGCUCCUGGGUGAUCGAUCAGCCCAGCAGAGAUCUUUCCUGGACAACAUGCAACAGCAGCAUGAGCGGAAUCUGGAAAGAGAAGAGAUGCUUCUUUCCAGGUUUAUGGAAGAAAGUACCCGCUCAACUGAAAGCAUUAUAGGGCAAUGGUUUGAUGGUGUUUGGGCUCUCCUUUCUCAGUCCUACUCAUCAGCUCCACAUUUACAUGAACAAAGUUAGUCUUGGACCUCGCUGAGACAAGCAUGUAACAGCCCGAAAAUGACCACUCGUCCAAGUGUUACUUCAAAUACAGCUGAAUUUUCAAAACUGCAGCAGCUGUAGGUUUUCCAAGGUACUCUGUAUGUUCAGAAUGACCAGUACAUGUUUAGAAGGGUCAUAGAAGAGUGUAAAAUUUCUCAUUUUUAUAUUUUAAGAAAAAAACACUAGGUCAAACGACCUACAUACAGUCUGGAAUCGCCACAUAUUUAGUAUCUUAAACUUUGUUGUGGAUUUUCCCUGAUAAUCUUUAAAACAUUUAAGACCUCUAGAUACUGCUGUUUGCCAAAGACAAGGUUUGUUUUGUAUUUUCCACUUUAAAUGCAUAUUCCAUUGAUAACAGGACUGAAAAU